GCGUCGGUGGCAGAGUGGUCAAAUGCAAUGGACUGUAAAUCCAUCGCCAAACGGCUUCGCAGGUUCGAAUCCUGCCCGGCGCACCA
rnacentral:tRNA from 1 species